rnacentral:rRNA from 1 species
UUUGUAGAGGAUGCUAUUGAGUUGUCACCGGUCUAAGUUCCUUGGAACAGGACGUCAUAGAGGGUGAGAAUCCCGUAUGUGACCGGCCAGACGCUCUCUGUAUAGCUCCUUCGACGAGUCGGGUUGUUUGGGAAUGCAGCCCUAAAUGGGAGGUAAAUUUCUUCUAAAGCUAAAUACCGGCCAGAGACCGAUAGCGCACAAGUAGAGUGAUCGAAAGAUGAAAAGCACUUUGGAAAGAGAGUUAAAAAGCACGUGAAAUUGUUGAAAGGGAAGCGCUUGCAAUCAGUCUCGACGGCGGCUGUUCGGCCUCUCUUCUGAGUGGUUUAUUCAGUCGCCGCCGGGCCAGCAUCAGUUCUGGCGGUCGGAUAAAGACGCGGGGAAUGUAGCUCCUCUCGGGGAGUGUUAUAGCCUCGCGUGCAAUACGGCCUGCCGGGACUGAGGUCCGCGCUUCGGCUAGGAUGCUGGCGAAAUGGUUGUAAGCGGCCCGUCUUGAAACACGGACCAAGGAGUCUAACAUCUAUGCGAGUGUUUGGGUGUCAAACCCGUACGCGUAAUGAAAGUGAACGGAGGUGGGAACCGCAAGGUGCACCAUCGACCGAUCCUGAUGUCUUCGGAUGGAUUUGAGUAA